rnacentral:rRNA from 1 species
UACGUAGGGGGCUAGCGUUGUCCGGAAUCAUUGGGCGUAAAGCGCGUGUAGGCGGCCCGGUAAGUCCGCUGUGAAAGUCGGGGGCUCAACCCUCGGAAGCCGGUGGAUACUGUCGGGCUGGAGUACGGAAGAGGCGAGUGGAAUUCCUGGUGCAGCGGUGAAAUGCGCAGAUAUCAGGAGGAACACCUAUUGCGAAGGCAGCUCGCUGGGACGUUACUGACGCUGAGACGCGAAAGCGUGGGGAGCAAACAGG